AUGCAGUCGAGCGGAUGAGAAGAGCUUGCUCUUCGAUUCAGCGGCGGACGGGUGAGUAAUACCUAGGAAUCUGCCUGGUAGUGGGGGACAACGUUUCGAAAGGAACGCUAAUACCGCAUACGUCCUACGGGAGAAAGCAGGGGACCUUCGGGCCUUGCGCUAUCAGAUGAGCCUAGGUCGGAUUAGCUAGUUGGUGAGGUAAUGGCUCACCAAGGCGACGAUCCGUAACUGGUCUGAGAGGAUGAUCAGUCACACUGGAACUGAGACACGGUCCAGACUCCUACGGGAGGCAGCAGUGGGGAAUAUUGGACAAUGGGCGAAAGCCUGAUCCAGCCAUGCCGCGUGUGUGAAGAAGGUCUUCGGAUUGUAAAGCACUUUAAGUUGGGAGGAAGGGUACUUACCUAAUACGUGAGUAUUUUGACGUUACCGACAGAAUAAGCACCGGCUAACUCUGUGCCAGCAGCCGCGGUAAUACAGAGGGUGCAAGCGUUAAUCGGAAUUACUGGGCGUAAAGCGCGCGUAGGUGGUUCGUUAAGUUGGAUGUGAAAUCCCCGGGCUCAACCUGGGAACUGCAUCCAAAACUGGCGAGCUAGAGUAGGGCAGAGGGUGGUGGAAUUUCCUGUGUAGCGGUGAAAUGCGUAGAUAUAGGAAGGAACACCAGUGGCGAAGGCGACCACCUGGGCUCAUACUGACACUGAG
rnacentral:rRNA from 3 species